GCCCCGGUAGCUCAGUUGGAUAGAGCAACUGCCUUCUAAGCAGUAGGUCAAGCGUUCGAGUCGCUUCCGGGGUA
rnacentral:tRNA from 1 species